UACGAAGGGGACUAGCGUUGUUCGGAUUUACUGGGCGUAAAGCGCGCGUAGGCGGAUCGCUAAGUCAGGGGUGAAAUCCCAGGGCUCAACCCUGGAACUGCCUUUGAUACUGACGGUCUGGAGAUCGGGAGAGGUUGGUGGAAUUCCGAGUGUAGAGGUGAAAUUCGUAGAUAUUCGGAGGAACACCAGAAGCGAAGGCGGCCAACUGGCCCGAUACUGACGCUGAGGCACGAAGGCCAGGGGAGCAAACGGG
rnacentral:rRNA from 1 species